rnacentral:rRNA from 1 species
GACGAACGCUGGCGGCGUGCCUAACACAUGCAAGUCAACUUGACUGAAGGAGCAAUCUGACAGUAGAGUGGCGCAAGGGUGCGUAACGCGUAAGUAACUUGCCCAAGGUAAGGAAUAACGUCGAGAAAUCGGCGCUAAUACCCCAUAAUGCAGCGGAUCCGCAUGGAUAUGUUGUUAAAGGUUUACCGCCUUGGGAUAGGCUUGCGUCUGAUUAGCUAGUUGGUGUGGUAACGGCACACCAAGGCUACGAUCAGUAACUGGUCUGAGAGGAUGAUCAGUCACACUGGAACUGAGACACGGUCCAGACUCCUACGGGAGGCAGCAGUGAGGAAUAUUGGGCAAUGCUCGAAAGAGUGACCCAGCAACGCCGCGUGGAGGAUGAAGGUAUUCUAUAUCGUAAACUCCUGUGAGAGCAGACGAAAGACAGAUUAUUAAUCUGGAUGACUGUAUGCUCAGAGGAAGCCCCGGCUAACU